rnacentral:rRNA from 1 species
AUGCCUGAACGAAAGAGAGGCAUCAUUCUCAAGACGGAAUGCCCUGUACGGAUGAAGCUAAACACAUAUGGAGCAUGGUGGAUGGUCACCGAAUAUGUCGAAGAACACAACCACGACCUCAUAAAGAAGUUUGACCUAGUAAAAUUUCUGAGCGCCCAUAGAGGAUUAAGUCCCGUCGAGAAGAAAUUCAUAAGGUUGCUACAUGAUUGUAACGUCGGUCCAUCAAGAAUGGUCCAAAUAUUGUCCCUGGUCCAUAGCGGAGAUGGUAGUCUGAGUAGCAUGCCCUACAUACCAGUAGACGUCACAAACCUAAAGGCAAAGUACCAUAGAGAGAGCAGGUUGGCUGACAUAGAAGACACAAUCACCUACUCCGAAGAGAAAGCAAAAGCAGAUCUUGAUUUCUUCUAUAGGAUAAGAUUGGACGAUGAGGACCGUGUCAGAAACAUGUACUGGGUGGAUGGUGCUGCAAGAAGAGCCUACAAACAUUUCCCUGAUUGCAUUUCGUUCGACGUGACAUAUCUCACGAAUAUGUACAAGAUGCCCUGUGCUCCAUUCAUAGGAAUAAAUAACCACAAUCAGUCCUUGCAGUUCGGUUGCGGUCUCGUUCGAAACAAAGAUACAGAUGGUUACACUUGA